rnacentral:sRNA from 1 species
ACCCUUCCAAGGCGCCAGCAUAAUGGU